rnacentral:rRNA from 1 species
GACAGAGGUGCCAAGCGUUAGGCGGAAUCACUGGGCUUAAAGCGUGUGUAGGCGGAUUGGUAAGUACCUUGUGAAAUCCCACGGCUUAACCGUGGAACUGCUGGGUAUACUGCUUAUCUUGGGCCACUUAGGGGUUACCGGAACAAACGGUGGAGCGGUGAAAUGCGUAGAUAUCGUUUGGAACGCCAAUGGUGAAAACAGGUAACUGGGAGUGUGCCGACGCUGAGACACGAAAGCCAGGGGAGCGAACGGG